rnacentral:rRNA from 1 species
UAAAGCCAAAAACCUCCUAAGCCGUCAUACGCUCACGGAGGCAUGAAGCCCAAGCACGAAAGUAACUUUACCAAAUAUGCCCGACUCCACGAAAGCUGGGAAACAAACUGGGAUUAGAUACCCCACUAUGCCCAGCCCUAAACUUAGAUGAAAUUUUACAAUAACAUCCGCCAGGGAACUACAAGCACAGCUUAAAACCCAAAGGACUUGGCGGUGCCUCAGACCCACCUAGAGGAGCCUGUUCUAGAACCGAUAAUCCCCGUUAAACCUCACCACCCCUUGUUUUUCCCGCCUAUAUACCGCCGUCGCCAGCUUACCCUGUGAAGGUUUAACAGUAAGCAAAAUGGGUUUAACCCAGAACGUCAGGUCGAGGUGUAGCGCAUGGGGUGGGAAGAAAUGGGCUACAUUUUCUGCCACAGAAUAUUACGAAUGGUGUCCUGAAAUAUAACACCUGAAGGAGGAUUUAGUAGUAAAAAGCAAAUAGAGUGUCUUUUUGAAUUAGGCUCUGAGGCGCGCACACACCGCCCGUCACUC